rnacentral:rRNA from 1 species
UACGAAGGGGGCUAGCGUUGCUCGGAAUCACUGGGCGUAAAGCGCGCGUAGGCGGACUCUUAAGUCAGGGGUGAAAUCCUGGAGCUCAACUCCAGAACUGCCCUUGAUACUGGGAGCCUUGAGUUCGGGAGAGGUGAGUGGAACUGCGAGUGUAGAGGUGAAAUUCGUAGAUAUUCGCAAGAACACCAGUGGCGAAGGCGGCUCACUGGCCCGAUACUGACGCUGAGGUGCGAAAGCGUGGGGAGCAAACAGG